UUGAUCACCCGGAGGUCCAUUAGCCGCCUCGCAGGCCACAUCAGCAACUUUGCUCGCAGCUAUACCUGCGACCGGGCUCGACGACAGAGCCUGCCCAAUUCCAGCUACAGCCUGCUGCUGCACCACCCGCUGGACUAAUUCGAUCAAUGCGGCCAACUGCUCCUCCAACCGUCGGAUGUCGUGCACAACUCAAGAAGUCUCGGCAUUAGCG
rnacentral:lncRNA from 1 species